rnacentral:rRNA from 1 species
GACGAACGCUGGCGGCGUGCUUAACACAUGCAAGUCGAACGGAAAGGCCCUGCUUUUGUGGGGUGCUCGAGUGGCGAACGGGUGAGUAACACGUGAGUAACCUGCCCUUGACUUUGGGAUAACUUCAGGAAACUGGGGCUAAUACCGGAUAGGAGCUCCUGCUGCAUGGUGGGGGUUGGAAAGUUUCGGCGGUUGGGGAUGGACUCGCGGCUUAUCAGCUUGUUGGUGGGGUAGUGGCUUACCAAGGCUUUGACGGGUAGCCGGCCUGAGAGGGUGACCGGCGACAUUGGGACUGAGAUACGGCCCAGAAUGCAACGGGAGGCAGCAGUGGGGAAUAUUGCACAAUGGGCGGAAGCCUGAUGAAGAAACGCCGCGUGCGGGAUGACGGCCUUCGGGUUGUAAACCGAUUUCGCCUGUGACGAAGCGUGAGUGACGGUAAUGGGUAAAGAAGCACCGGCUAACUACGUG